GUGGAAAUGUAGGUCAAUUAAGCCUU
rnacentral:piRNA from 1 species